rnacentral:rRNA from 1 species
CCUACGGGAGGCAGCAGUGGGGAAUAUUGCACAAUGGGGGAAACCCUGAUGCAGCGACGCCGAGUGAGUGAAGAAGUAAUUCGGUACGUAAAGCUCUAUCAGCAGGGAAGAAAAUGACGGUACCUGAGUAAUAAGCCCCGGCUAACUACGUGCCAGCAGCCGGGGUAAUACGUAGGGGGCAAGCGUUAUCCGGAUUUAUUGGGUGUAAAGGGAUGGUAGACGGUGGGGCAAGUCUGGAGUGAAAUGCCGCAGCUUAACUGCGGAACUGCUUUGGAAACUGGCGAACUAGAGUGCGGGAGGGGUAAGCGGAAUUCCUAGUGUAGCGGUGAAAUGCGUAGAUAUUAGGAGGAACACCGAUGGCGAAGGCGGCUUACUGGACCGUAACUGACGUUGAGGCUCGAAAGCGUGGGGAGCAAACAGGAUUAGAUACCCUAGUAGUC